rnacentral:rRNA from 1 species
CCUACGGGGGGCAGCAGUGAGGAAUAUUGGUCAAUGGACGCAAGUCUGAACCAGCCAUGCCGCGUGAAGGAAGACGGCUCUAUGAGUUGUAAACUGCUUUUGUACGAGGGUAAAUCCCGAUACGUGUAUCGGGUUGAAAGUAUCGUACGAUUAAGGAUCGGCUAAAUCCGUGCCAGUAGCCGCGGUAAUACGGAGGAUUCAAACGUUAUCCGGGUUUAUUGGGUUUAAAGGGUACGUAGGCGGUUCGAUAAGUUAGAGGUUAAAUCCCGGGGGUCAACUCAGGCACUGCCUCGGAUACUGUCGGGCUAGAGUGUAGUUGCGGUAGGCGGAAUGUAUGGUGUAGCGGUGAAAUGCAUAGAGAUCAUACAGAACACCGAUUGCGAAGGCAGCUUACCAAACUACGACUGACGUUGAGGCACGAAAGCGUGGGGAGCAAACAGGAUUAGAUACCCCGGUAGUC